GUCAGAAAAGAAAAAAACAACAACAAGGGAAUAAACCCUAAACGAUGCCCCUCCCUUCUCCGUCGCCUUGAAAGCCAGAACUCUCCUCUCUCUCGUUCCGAUUCGGACAGAGUAGAGGAUGGCUCCAAUGGCGCGCAAAGGUAAGAUUCUUCUUCCCUUUUCUCUUUUAUUUUGUAUAUAUUCUAUUACAUAUAAUUAAUAGCAAACAGAAAAGGAAAGAAAAGCAACCGAAAAAAAGAAUAGUAGAGAGAAAGAAGAAAACCUUCUCUUUUUUUUUGUAUUGAUCUUUUUUUGUUUUUGAUACAGUCUCUGUGUGUUCCUUCGUUCGGUUUACAAUCGAUUUUAUAUCGAAACUACAAAAUAAAGAAAAAAGAGAAAAAUCUCAUUCUUUUUCGCUAUUUUAUCUUCUUCCUUUUUUGCUGCUUUGGGCUUGUUGUUUGCUGCAGUAUGGGUACGGAGACGCGUGACGUGGCUCGGCGCGUACGAAGGCAGAGGCUAGCGUGGAGCGGCUCGGAGGCGUGGCUCGUGGGGCCGAGGGAAAACCCUGGUGGCUGCGGCGCUGGAGGCAUUCUGGAAACCCUCGGGGUUUCUGAAAAUUAUUCAAAUCGGGCCAUAGUGUAUUGGGCCUAGGGUUUUGGGUAUGGUUGUAUUUGGGUUUGAUUUUGGGCUAGUAAUUUAGGUUUAGGUUUGGGCCGUGUUGAUUUGGUCUGUACGAUUUUUGGCUUGUAACUAUGGACUGAUAUUAUUUGUAAAUGGACUUUUACUAUUUUUACUUUUAUGUUGAUUUUAUUUAUUUUUAGUGGGCCCGGGUCAAAAUUGGGCAUUACAAUCUUUAUUAAAUUGGUUGAUGUUUGUGAACUCAAGUGGCCCAAACCAUUUUUCCCCAAAUGACUUCAAUAUAGAUAUUCCCUUAGGGGUCUGGGUUCAUAAGCACAC
rnacentral:lncRNA from 1 species